UACGUAGGGGGCAAGCGUUGUCCGGAUUUACUGGGCGUAAAGAGCGCGUAGGCGGAAGUUUAAGCGGUGCCUGAAAGCCCCCGGCUCAACCGGGGAGGGUGGUGCCGAACUGGGCUUCUUGAGGGCGAUAGAGGAGAGUGGAAUUCCGGGUGUAGCGGUGAAAUGCGCAGAUAUCAGGAAGAACACCCGUGGCUAAGGCGGCUCUCUAGUACGGUACUGACGCUGAGACGCGAAAGCGUGGGGAGCGAACAGG
rnacentral:rRNA from 1 species